rnacentral:rRNA from 1 species
AACGAACGCUGGCGGCAGGCCUAACACAUGCAAGUCGAGCGAACCCUUCGGGGUUAGCGGCGGACGGGUUAGUAACGCGUGGGAAUAUACCCUUUGGUACGGAAUAGCCUCGGGAAACUGAGAGUAAUACCGUAUGUGCCCUUCGGGGGAAAGAUUUAUCGCCAAAGGAUUAGCCCGCGUUGGAUUAGAUAGUUGGUGGGGUAAUGGCCUACCAAGUCUACGAUCCAUAGCUGGUUUGAGAGGAUGAUCAGCAACACUGGGACUGAGACACGGCCCAGACUCCUACGGGAGGCAGCAGUGGGGAAUCUUAGACAAUGGGCGCAAGCCUGAUCUAGCCAUGCCGCGUGGACGACGAAGGCCUUAGGGUUGUAAAGUCCUUUCAGAUGGGAAGAUAAUGACGGUACCAUCAGAAGAAGACCCCGGCGUAACUACCGUG